AUUGAACGCUGGCGGAAUGCUUUACACAUGCAAGUCGAACGGUAGAGGGGGCAACCCCUCGAGAGUGGCGAACGGGUGAGUAAUAUAUCGGAACGUGCCCAGUCGUGGGGGAUAACGUAGCGAAAGUUACGCUAAUACCGCAUACGAUCUACGGAUGAAAGCGGGGGAUCGCAAGACCUCGCGCGAUUGGAGCGGCCGAUAUCAGAUUAGGUAGUUGGUGGGGUAAAGGCCCACCAAGCCAACGAUCUGUAGCUGGUCUGAGAGGACGACCAGCCACACUGGAACUGAGACACGGUCCAGACUCCUACGGGAGGCAGCAGUGGGGAAUUUUGGACAAUGGGCGAAAGCCUGAUCCAACCAUUCCGCGUGCAGGAUGAAGGCCCUCGGGUUGUAAACUGCUUUUGUACAGAACGAAAAGGUUUCUACUAAUACUAGGAGCUCAUGACGGUACUGUAAGAAUAAGCACCGGCUAACUACGUGCCAGCCGCCGCCAUAA
rnacentral:rRNA from 1 species